rnacentral:misc_RNA from 1 species
GGAAGGAUCAUUACAAAAUCUGAGUUGUUGGUGGGGUGGGGGUUGUUGUUGUUGAGUGGGGUUGUUGUUGGUAUUUAUCUGCCAUGGUAUUUAUCUGCUACUCUCCACACUACACACUACACACACCACACCAUUCACAUCAUUUGCGCUUGUAUUGUUUGACAGAGUAAUUUUCACAUUAAAAAUGACAACUUUUAACAAUGGAUCUCUGGGCUCUUGCAACGAUGAAGAACGCAGCAAAAUGCGAUACGUAGUGCGAUUUGCAUUAUUUGCGAGUCAUCAAAUCUUUGAACGCAACUUGCGCCUGUUUAUGCAGGCAUGUCUAUUUGAGUACCGUAUACCAUAAUUACAGUUGCUCUCAAGAGCUAAACGUGGCAUGUAUAUGUGGGGUUUGAAGUUAGAGACCUCGGUCUUGUUCAUUCCCCCCUUAUCUCACCGGUCUCAAAUUAGGCAAGAUUACCCGCUGAACUUAAGCAUAUCAGUAAGCGGAGGAAAAGAAACUAACCAGGAUUCCCCUAGUAAUGGCGAAUGAAGCGGGAAUAGCUCAAAGUUUGAAUCUCGACGGCCUCCGUCGCGAAUUGUAGUCUAAAGAGGGUAACCUAGUAGCAACAGGGCUGCCAAGUCCAUUGGAAAAUGGCACCAGAGAGGGUGAGAGUCCCGUGACCGGCCAAGUUGUUACAAAGUGGGAGCCUUUCAACGAGUCGAGUUGUUUGGGAAUGCAGCUCAAAGUGGGUGGUAAAUCUCAUCUAAGGCUAAAUAUUGGCAAGAGACCGAUAGCGAACAAGUACCGUGAGGGAAAGAUGAAAAGCACCUUGAAAAGGGAGUUAAACAGUGCGUGAAAUUGUUAAAAGGGAAGCGAUUGAGAUCAGUGUUGGUGACGGUUUAAUGUCGAGCUUUGGUUCGACAAGCGGCCGGCACUCGAGUCAAUGUCAGUUGAGGUAGCUGGAGACGUCCUGUGGGAAGGUGGGGUCACUCUUCGGAGCGGCUCUUUAUAGACCACAGAGGCCGCAGCUGCUCCGACUGAAAGUCUUGCAACGCGGGUUUGGGUUGGGCGAGGGUUAGAGUGUCGACAACAUGUUGACGAUGCGCUAUCCACCUCCCAACCUUGCCCUCCCGAGUGAGACGCUCUUGACAAAAUGGUCUUAAACGACCCGUCUUGAAACACGGACCAAGGAGUCUAACAAUGUUGCGAGCAUUAUAGUGGCAAACUAGAGAUGCGCAAUAAAAGUGAGAGCCUGCGAGCUUCGGCGCAGCAGGGACCGGCGGUGGAUUAACAUGCACUGACCGAGUAAGAGUAGGAUUGUUGGGACCCGAAAGGCGGUGAACUAUGCCUGACUAGGGCGAAGCCAGAGGAAACUCUGGUGGAGGCUCGUAGCCGUUCUGACGUGCAAAUCGAUGGUAAAAGUUGGGUAUAGGGGCGAAAGACUAAUCGAACCGCCUAGUAGCUGGUUCCCUC